rnacentral:tRNA from 1 species
GGGGUUGUGGCUCAGUGGUAGAGCGCUUGCCUAGCAUGUAUGAAGCAUUGGGUUCGAUCCCUGACACCA